ensembl:processed_transcript
GCUUGUAUCUGAAACACAAAUCAGCUGCGUUCGUAAAACUGUGCUUUUCUACAGACCUGGAGGAGAUUUAGUGAAACAGUCACUCAUCAUGGACGGAUGGAGAACCACAGAGAACAGCAUCAAACCUCAGCUGGUGGUGAAGAUUGUUGGUGGAAAGCAUAUUAAAUAUUUUAUUGAUGGGUCCAAAAGUCCCAUAGAUCAUCUCGAAAUAAUCAACAGCUCAGAAGACAGAAACAAUUCAUCGAACAAAGUCACGGAUGAAGAUUUGAGCAGAAAAUCCCCUUCUUAUGACCUGAGACCAGCUGAGCACAAAGAUAACCUGUUAGAUGCUCUCCAACAGUUUCCAGACAGACGGUGUGUGACGGCACCAUGCGGAGACCGAUCACAAUCAUACAUAUAUCCGAAAUCCACAACCAACCCAAGCUCCUCGAAACAACUCCUGCAAAAUCCUCAUUUUACAGAGGAACAGAGUGAGGAUCCGCAGCACGGCCUCCUCACGUGUCUCUCAGAGGAACUGCAGGAUUUGGAGCAAAACAAACUGGAGCUGAUGGAGCAGGAAGUGACAUCACUGGACUCGUCGGGAUCAGGACUCCUCCAUCAGUCUGAGCUAAUGUUUCUGCUGCUGAAACUAAAGGUCCCGGUGAAGCUCAGAACACUGGCAUGUGUGAUCAGAAAAUUCAGUGACACCACUGAUCCACUGCAGGUCCU